GUUCCCUUUUUUUUGUUGCCACUAUGAUCUCCCAUUGAUAUGAGCAGUUAUAUGCAUGGGAUAAAAUAAUAUUAGGCCAUUGUAAAUUGAUAUGAAGUAACCAUUUUCAUCUCUUCUGCAUGAAGGAGACACUG
rnacentral:snoRNA from 1 species